UACGGAGGGGGCUAGCGUUGUUUCGGAAUUACUGGGCGUAAAAGCGCACGUAGGCGGCUUUGUAAGUUAGAGGUGAAAGCCCGGGGCUCAACUCCGGAAUUGCCUUUAAGACUGCAUCGCUAGAAUUGUGGAGAGGUAAGUGGAAUUCCGAGUGUAGAGGUGAAAUUCGUAGAUAUUCGGAAGAACACCAGUGGCGAAGGCGACUUACUGGACACAUAUUGACGCUGAGGUGGCGAAAGCGUGGGGAGCAAACAGG
rnacentral:rRNA from 1 species